AAACUUACUUGGCUGGCGCUCGGGGUGGCUCCGGUAUCACCCUGUCGUAGCUCGGAGCAGCACAUUGCAUUCUGUGGUCUGUAAUGGGCUAGGCCCGUCCCUAGUGGGUGGCUCCACAGCUCAAUUUCUGAUCAGCGGUUCGUGCUCGCGCGGCCGCUAA
rfam:Colinus virginianus strain Texas jcf7180006226059, whole genome shotgun sequence.